rnacentral:rRNA from 1 species
CCUACGGGAGGCAGCAGUGGGGAAUAUUGCACAAUGGGGGGAACCCUGAUGCAGCGACGCCGCGUGGGUGAAGGAGUAUUUCGGUAUGUAAAGCCCUAUCAGCAGGGAAGAACAAUGACGGUACCUGACUAAGAAGCACCGGCUAAAUACGUGCCAGCAGCCGCGGUAAUACGUAUGGUGCAAGCGUUAUCCGGAUUUACUGGGUGUAAAGGGAGCGCAGACGGCGAUGCAAGCCAGGAGUGAAAGCCCGGGGCCCAACCCCGGGACUGCUCGUGGAACUGCGUGGCUGGAGUGCAGGAGGGGCAGGCGGAAUUCCUGGUGUAGCGGUGAAAUGCGUAGAUAUCAGGAGGAACACCGGUGGCGAAGGCGGCCUGCUGGACUGCAACUGACGUUGAGGCCCGAAAGCGUAGGAGCAAACAGGAUUAGAUACCCCAGUAGUC